AGGACGAACGCUGGCGGCGUGCCUAAUACAUGCAAGUAGGACGCUGAAGGAGGAGCUUGCUUCUCUGGAUGAGUUGCGAACGGGUGAGUAACGCGUAGGUAACCUGCCUGGUAGCGGGGGAUAACUAUUGGAAACGAUAGCUAAUACCGCAUAAUAGUAGAUGUUGCAUGACAUUUGCUUAAAAGGUGCAAUUGCAUCACUACCAGAUGGACCUGCGUUGUAUUAGCUAGUUGGUGGGGUAACGGCUCACCAAGGCGACGAUACAUAGCCGACCUGAGAGGGUGAUCGGCCACACUGGGACUGAGACACGGCCCAGACUCCGUACGGGAGCAGCGAGUAGGGAAUCUUCGGCAAGUGGAACGGAAGUCUGACCGAGCAACGCCGCGUGAGAGAAGAAGGUUUCGGAUCGUAAAGCUCUGUUGUAAGAGAAGAACGAGUGUGAGAGUAGGAAAGUU
rnacentral:rRNA from 1 species